UCCUACGGGAGGCAGCAGUGGGGAAUAUUGCACAAUGGGCGCAAGCCUGAUGCAGCCAUGCCGCGUGURUGAAGAAGGCCUUCGGGUUGUAAAGYWCUUUCAGCGGGGAGGAAGGSRKUAARGUUAAUACCYUUGYYCAUUGACGUUACCCGCAGAAGAAGCACCGGCUAACUCCGUGCCAGCAGCCGCGGUAAUACGGAGGGUGCAAGCGUUAAUCGGAAUUACUGGGCGUAAAGCGCACGCAGGCGGUYUGUYAAGUCRGAUGUGAAAUCCCCGGGCUCAACCUGGGAACUGCAUUUGAWACUGGCARGCUWGAGUSUYGUAGAGGGGGGUAGAAUUCCAGGUGUAGCGGUGAAAUGCGUAGAGAU
rnacentral:rRNA from 1 species